AGUAGCUUAGCCGAGGGACUGUGAGCAAAGACCCUAACGCGCGCUUCGAUGGACCCAUUGAGGCGCCCUCGACGCGACCCCAGGUCAGGCGGGGCUACCCGCUGAGUUUAAGCAUAUCAAUAAA
rnacentral:rRNA from 1 species